rnacentral:tRNA from 1 species
GCAGAGAUAGCAUAGCCAGGUCAAUGCGGUAGGCUCGAGACCUACUGGGCUUUGUGCCCUCGGGGGUUCGAAUCCCCCUCUCUGCG